rfam:Schistosoma haematobium scaffold546_6, whole genome shotgun sequence.
AUCCAGCUGAUGAGUCUUAAACAAGAUGAAACGCACAUCCUAGAU